rnacentral:rRNA from 1 species
UACAGAGGUCUCAAGCGUUGUUCGGAUUCAUUGGGCGUAAAGGGUGCGUAGGUGGUUGGGUAAGUCUGAUGUGAAAUCUCUGAGCUUAACUCAGAAACUGCAUUGGAUACUAUCCGGCUGGAGGAGUGGAGGGGGGACUGGAAUACUUGGUGUAGCAGUGAAAUGCGUAGAUAUCAAGUGGAACACCAGUGGCGAAGGCGAGUCCCUGGACACUUCCUGACACUGAGGCACGAAAGCUAGGGGAGCAAACAGG